rnacentral:lncRNA from 1 species
UCAUUCCAGGAGAGGAGAAAACAAAAACAACAAAACUAAAAUCCGUGAAUGAAAGGGAACAUGUAGUGUUCCCUUCCUGUGUCCUCAGGGUGAUAAGGAAGACUGGAGAAGGAAAAUCUACCUACUGCAGGAACAUCCCAGCUUCUUUUGGGAAAACACCUCCACCUUCAACCCAAGACCUCCAAUCUGUACUUUCAGGAGUGGAUUUUUUCGGAUUUAACCAAAUAAGAACAGUCAUUUCCAUGGUUAUACAGGUUGGUUAUGAAUAAAUCAUUUACAAAAGGCCAAUCAGAACAAAUGUGAAGAAUGUUAUUUGAAAUGAUGGAAAUGCAUAUCUUCUCAUCUUGGGAAAUCAUCUGAGAGCUGCUAUGGCCCAAGGGAAGCCUGGAAUAGAUAAGAGAAGGUAUGCCUAAGAACCCAGAAGUGGAGCCAGGUCUGAGGAAGGAGAACAACACAGUG